UAAAACAACCUGAAAGCCCUGAAGGCAUCUAAUCCUUUCUGAUCUUGGAAGCUAAGCAAGUCAUGCCUGGUUAGUAUUUGGUUGUGGACCAUGAAGGAAUAUCAGGCCAUACUUCAAA
rnacentral:rRNA from 11 species